rnacentral:miRNA from 1 species
UGACUAGACCCGUAACAUUAC